AACUUGGCUAAAAAAGCAAGGGAUAGUCGAGCGAGGUUACCAUAUAAUCAUACAAUGGGCUCCAAGUCAUUUCAAGCUGCAAUGUAUAAACAGGGUACCGAGAAGACUGACUUUGUAGACUUCUACAAAGAUUCCCAUUGGAGCAAGAGAAAGUCGGAUUGGGUAGCCCCAAUAUGUGGUCAAUUACAUGUAAGUAUGCCAAUUAAUAGAGUUACAUAUUUAUGUAAAUGAUGGUAUUUGUUGAAGUUGUUUACAAAUUGAUAGGAAACUUUUAAAAAGCGACAUGAAGAGUCUUUAGAGCCUGGGGCAAUACCUUUAACUCAGGAGCAGCUGUCAAUCGAGAUUCUUGGAAAGAAAUUGGGAUACUUAAAAGGCUUUGGAGUUGGUCCAAAAGCAUCAUCAUCCAAAUCUUCUGUUAUUGCACAAGCACAUACUGAGGUGGUU